rnacentral:lncRNA from 13 species
CUAGAUAACGAGGGAGGGAGAAAUGUGAUGGCGAUAAGCCUCGGGUACCUUGGACCUUGACGGGAAGACAUUGUCACACGGUGUGCCAGGUUGUCCUACACUUGCGGAUCAAGGAGGAGGGACCAUGUUGCUGUACCAAGGUCCUGGGAAUACCUAUACUGGGAAUACCACUGCCCCUCUCUAGCUGGAUCAUCUGACACCAACUCCCCCAAGAUUUCCUGACGGAUAUAAUCCAAUUCAUCCCUCCAUAUUUUGGAUAUUCGAAGCAAUAG